rnacentral:rRNA from 1 species
CGAUAACCUCUCCCGAUCAGAGGUGUGAUUCCGCCUCGGGAUGGGACCUGAUCCUAUUUUUUUGUUGGUGGGUCCAUGGCCUACCUUGGCAACCAUUUGUACCGGGCGUUGUAGCGUGGGCGGCCCCCCUGACACUGAGGCCCUGCCGACAUGCCUACGGCCGGCUGUUCCCCAGAAUCUUGCCGGAUGGUCCCAUUCCAGACUUGUCGACGCCGCGUGGGGUUGCACUGCCUUCGGGAUGUAACCCACUGUCUCAGGGGAGGAAGGGACCAUGAACAUGCGAACUUGGUCUAUGCUUCCAGAAAGAGCGGUCUACUUUCGUGUCACUACUACCUACAUGACAAACCCUGGAAACGUUAUUCGCAAUCCCUGGAAUUAAACGGUGCGUACGCCUGCUUGCGCGUCCCCUGUGAAAUUCCUCUGCUUAACUGACGAAUUGCGCCCGACACUGUUCGGCUUGAUGGACACAGAAGUGACCGCACCUUGCGAAUUAUCGCCUACUAGCGUUGAUAUCCCUCGGAAACGGCUAGGACUACGGGGGUUUCUGAUUCUCUUCUGACGCUGAGGCACGAAAGCUAGGGUAGCGAAGAGGAUUAGAUACCCUCGUAGUCAUAGCUGUAAACGGUGAGCAUUGGAUUGGAGGGUCCUCCAUAGCAUUCCGGUCGUAGCGAAAACACUAAGAAAUUCCACCUGGGGAGUAUGUCCUCAAGGCUGAAACUCAAAGGAAUUGACGGGGGAUCACACAAGGGAGGGAGGAUGUGGCUUAAUUGGAGGCUACUCGAAGAUCUUUAUCCCCGAUAAAUCAUGAUUAGGAAUCCCUCGGAAACAGGGGAGUGCCCCUCGGGGAGCCCUUGCACAGGGGUUGCAUGGGGGUUGUCAUCUUUUGUCUUGAGAUGUCGGGUUAAGUCCCUUAACGAGCGAAACCCUUGUCGUUAGUUGCCAGCGGGUCAUGCCGGGGAUCAAACGAGAUAUUCGUUGUUAAACCGGAGGAAGGUGGUGAUGACGUCAUGUCCUCAUGGCCUUUAGGUCCAGGGCUGCCCACCUCCUUCACUGUUGUGUCCAAAGGGAAGCAAACUCGUGAGAGUAAGCAAAUCCCAAAAAGCUCCCCCCAGUUGGACUUGCACCUUGCAACUCUCAUGCAAGAAGCCGGAACCGUUGGUUAUUGGGGGUCAGCAUACCGCGGUAAAUGUGUUCUUGAGCCAGGUAC